rfam:Oryctolagus cuniculus cont2.27633, whole genome shotgun sequence.
GCUCCAGAGGCAGCUGGCAGCAUCUGGGCCUGAGGCUGAGUCCAGAGGUGGGGGUGGGAGCCCGGCCCACGAUGACUCAGCUCUCUUGGGA